AAAGUCGUAACAAGGUUUCCGUAGGUGAACCUGCGGAAGGAUCAUUACUGAGACUGGGUGCUUCGGCGCCCGACCUCCAACCCCCUGUCUACCUUACCACUGUUGCCUCGGCGCGUCUGCUCCACCACCCUAGGGGGGUGCGGCUUUUGCGCCGGCGGCCAAAAACGAAAACCCUUUUUCAAACCAAGCAAUCUGAGAAAUUAUUUAAUAACUUCAAAACUUUCAACAACGGAUCUCUUGGUUCUG
rnacentral:misc_RNA from 1 species